AUGCAAAUCUCCGAUGUGUUCCUCCUCUACUUAUGUGUUGAUGGUCAGACUCUGACAGAAUCUGAAGCAGUGGUUAAAAGGCCUGAAGAAUCCCACAGACUGACCUGUUCAGUCUCUGGAUUCACAUUCAGCGACUACUGGAUGGCUUGGGUCAGACAGGCUCCUGGAAAAGGACUGGAGUGGAUCGCUAUUAUCAGAUAUGACAGUGCUAGCAUCUACUACUCUAAUUCAGUCAAAAGCCGGUUCACCAUCUCCAGAGACAACAGCAGACAGCAGGUGUAUCUGCAGAUGAACAGUCUGAAGACUGAAGACACUGCUGUGUAUUACUGUGCCAGAGAGACACAGUGA